rnacentral:rRNA from 1 species
UCCGUAGGUGAACCUGCGGAAGGAUCAUUAAAGAGUUGGGGUUCCUUCGGGGCCCGAUCUCCCACCCUUUGUUGUCGCGAAUUUGUUGCCUCGGCGGGUUGUUUCUCCGGAGACGACGGGCUUCUCGCCCACCCGCCGCAGGACCAUUCAAACUCUGCUUUAACAAUGCAGUCUGAGAAGAUUUUAAUAAUAAAUCAAAACUUUCAACAACGGAUCUCUUGGUUCUGGCAUCGAUGAAGAACGCAGCGAAAUGCGAUAAGUAAUGUGAAUUGCAGAAUUCAGUGAAUCAUCGAAUCUUUGAACGCACAUUGCGCCCCUUGGUAUUCCGAGGGGCAUGCCUGUUCGAGCGUCAUUUCACCAAUCAAGCCACGCUUGGUAUUGGGCGCGUGGCCUUUUCUCGGAAAGGCCCGCCCGAAAUGCAUCGGCGAGGAAACCGACCCCCGGCGUGUUAGAUUUCUGAACGUCAGGAGCACCGGUGCCCCCAGCCGUACAAUCUUUUUUCUCAAGGUUGACCUCGGAUCAGGUAGGAAUACCCGCUGAACUUAAGCAUAUCAAUAAGCGGAGGA